GAUGAACGCUGGCGGCGUGCUUAACACAUGCAAGUCGAACGAAGCGCUUAAACGGAUUUCUUCGGAAUGAAGUUUUUGCGACUGAGUGGCGGACGGGUGAGUAACGCGUGGGUAACCUGCCUUAUACAGGGGGAUAACAGUUAGAAAUGGCUGCUAAUACCGCAUAAGCGCACAGGGCCGCAUGGCCCGGCGUGAAAAACUCCGGUGGUAUAAGAUGGACCCGCGUCUGAUUAGCUGGUUGGUGAGGUAACGGCCCACCAAGGCGACGAUCAGUAGCCGGCCUGAGAGGGUGAACGGCCACAUUGGGACUGAGACACGGCCCAG
rnacentral:rRNA from 1 species